CCUACGGGAGACAGCAGUGAGGAAUAUUGGUCAAUGGGCUAAGGCCUGAACCAGCCAAGCCGCGUGAGGGAAGACGGUCCUAUGGAUUGUAAACCUCUUUUGUCGGGGGGCAACGAGGCCACGUGUGGCAGAAGUGAGAGUACCCGAAGAAAAAGAAUAGGCUAACUCCGUGCCAGCAGCCGCGGUAAUACGGGGGAUGCGAGCGUUAUCCGGAUUUAUUGGGUUUAAAGGGUGCGUAGGCGGAACAUUAAGUCAGCGGUAAAAUCCAGGGGCUCAACCCCUUUAAGCCGUUGAAACUGGUGAUCUAGAGUGGGCGAGAAGGAUGCGGAAUGCGAGGUGUAGCGGUGAAAUGCAUAGAUAUCUCGCAGAACUCCGAUUGCGAAGGCAGCAUACCGGCGCCCGACUGACGCUGAGGCACGAAAGCGUGGGGAUCGAACAGGAUUAGAUACCCUAGUAGUC
rnacentral:rRNA from 1 species